rnacentral:rRNA from 1 species
AGAGUUUGAUCCUGGCUCAGAACGAACGCUGGCGGCGUGCCUAACACAUGCAAGUCGAACGUGAUUGGAAGCUUGCUUCCAUGAAAGUGGCGCACGGGUGAGUAACGCGUGGAUAACCUGCCCUGGUAUCCGGAAUAACAUCUCGAAAGGGGUGCUAAUACCGGAUAAGCCUACGGGGUCUUCGGACCCUGCAGGAAAAGGUGGCCUCUAUUUAUAAGCUACCGUAUCAGGAUGGGUCCGCGUACCAUUAGCUAGUUGGUGGGGUAAUGGCCUACCAAGGCGACGAUGGUUAGCUGGUCUGAGAGGAUGAUCAGCCACACUGGAACUGAGACACGGUCCAGACUCCUACGGGAGGCAGCAGUGGGGAAUUUUGCGCAAUGGGGGAAACCCUGACGCAGCAACGCCGCGUGAGUGAUGAAGGCUUUCGGGUCGUAAAGCUCUGUCAGUAGGGAAGAAAUGAAAACGGUUAAUACCCGUUUUUCUUGACGGUACCUACAAAGGAAGCACCGGCUAACUCCGUGCCAGCAGCCGCGGUAAUACGGGGGAUGCAAGCGUUAUUCGGAAUUAUUGGGCGUAAAGGGCGCGUAGGCGGUUUAGUCGGUCAGAUGUGAAAGCCCAGGGCUCAACCCUGGACGUGCAUUUGAAACAGCAAGACUUGAGUACGGGAGAGGAAAGCGGAAUUCCUGGUGUAGAGGUGAAAUUCGUAGAUAUCAGGAGGAACACCGAUGGCGAAGGCAGCUUUCUGGACCGAUACUGACGCUGAGGCGCGAAGGCGUGGGUAGCGAACAGGAUUAGAUACCCUGGUAGUCC